rnacentral:rRNA from 1 species
CCUACGGGGGGCAGCAGUGGGGAAUAUUGCGCAAUGGGCGAAAGCCUGACGCAGCGACGCCGCGUGGGGGAUGAAUGCCUUCGGGUUGUAAACCCCUUUCGGCAGGGACGCGGUACCUGCAGAAGAAGUCCCGGCUAACUACGUGCCAGCAGCCGCGGUAAGACGUAGGGGACGAGCGUUGUCCGGAUUCAUUGGGCGUAAAGCGCGCGUAGGCGGUUGCGCAAGUCGGUUGUGAAAAUCCGGGGCUCAACCCCGGACCUGCAUCCGAUACUGCGUGACUAGAGGUAGGUAGGGGAGAUCGGAAUUCCUGGUGUAGCGGUGAAAUGCGCAGAUAUCAGGAGGAACACCGGUGGCGAAGGCGGAUCUCUGGGCCUACUGACGCUCAGGCGCGAAAGCUAGGGGAGCGAACAGGAUUAGAUACCCUUGUAGUC